UAAUACAUGCAAGUCGUACGCACUGGCCCAACUGAUUGAUGGUGCUUGCACCUGAUUGACGAUGGAUCACCAGUGAGUGGCGGACGGGUGAGUAACACGUAGGUAACCUGCCCCGGAGCGGGGGAUAACAUUUGGAAACAGAUGCUAAUACCGCAUAACAACAAAAGCCACAUGGCUUUUGUUUGAAAGAUGGCUUUGGCUAUCACUCUGGGAUGGACCUGCGGUGCAUUAGCUAGUUGGUAAGGUAACGGCUUACCAAGGCGAUGAUGCAUAGCCGAGUUGAGAGACUGAUCGGCCACAAUGGAACUGAGACACGGUCCAUACUCCUACGGGAGGCAGCAGUAGGGAAUCUUCCACAAUGGGCGCAAGCCUGAUGGAGCAACACCGCGUGAGUGAAGAAGGGUUUCGGCUCGUAAAGCUCUGUUGUUGGAGAAGAACGUGCGUGAGAGUAACUGUUCACGCAGUGACGGUAUCCAACCAGAAAGUCACGGCUAACUAACUUGCCACACCCGCGGUAAUAC
rnacentral:rRNA from 2 species